rnacentral:tRNA from 1 species
GCUUUUGGUUAGCUCAGUCGGUAGAGCGCUCCGCUAGUCUUGGAGAGGUCCCGGUAUCGAAUCCCGGACCAGGCG